rnacentral:rRNA from 1 species
UACGUAGGGGGCAAGCGUUAUCCGGAUUUACUGGGUGUAAAGGGGGCGCAGACGGCGAUGCAAGCCAGGAGUGAAAGCCCGGGGCCCAACCCCGGGACUGCUCUUGGAACUGCGUGGCUGGAGUGCAGGAGGGGCAGGCGGAAUUCCUGGUGUAGCGGUGAAAUGCGUAGGUAUCAGGAGGAACACCGGUGGCGAAGGCGGCCUGCUGGACUGCAACUGACGUUGAGGCCCGAAAGCGUGGGGAGCAAACAGG